rnacentral:rRNA from 1 species
CUACGGGUUGCACCAGUGGGGAAUAUUGCACAAUGGGCGCAAGCCUGAUGCAGCAACGCCGCGUGAGGGAUGAAGGCCUUCGGGUUGUAAACCUCUUUUAGCAGGGAAGAAGCGAAAGUGACGGUACCUGCAGAAAAAGCACCGGCUAACUACGUGCCAGAAGCCGCGGUAAUACGGAGGGUGCAAGCGUUGUCCGGAAUUAUUGGGCGUAAAGAGCUCGUAGGCGGUUUGUCACGUCUGCUGUGAAAAUCCAAGGCUCAACCUUGGACUUGCAGUGGGUACGGGCAGGCUAGAGUGCGGUAGGGGGGAUGGGAAUUCCUGGUGUAGCGGUGGAAUGCGCAGAUAUCAGGAGGAACACCAAUGGCGAAGGCACAUCUCUGGGCCGUAACUGACGCUGAGGAGCGAAAGCGUGGGGAGCGAACAGGAUUAGAUACCCGUGUAGUC